UUGUAUUGCCAAAAUAAUUAUCAUAAUGUAAUGUCUUGAAAUUUCAGAACUUCAAUUUGAAGAUGGCAUGAUUUUUAAGUAAUUUGUGAUCAAGAAAAAUCUACUAUUUCAUAAAUAAUCAUGUUUUCCAGAGUUGCACAUUUUAUCGAGUCAGACAAAUUUUUUGGAUGACAUUGGGUAAUGUUAUGAAAAAUUUCAAUGAAGUCAAAAAUGAAUAAAGCAGAAAAAAUUAUGUUAUAAAUGAGCUGAUGAUAUUGGAAGUGAAAGAGUUAAACUCUUCAAUGUGCUUUUUCAUUAUAGCUGUCACCCUCUUACUAACGAUAACUCUCAGAAGUUGAAACUUGUUGGUGCUAAGGAUUGAUGAGGUUUUCCUUUCGAUUCCCAGCAACUAAUCCUACAUUUUCCUAUUGUUAUUAACAACUCUCAGCACCUGUCACGCCUCUUGUCUUGUAUAAUCCAAAACAUAUAAGUCUAUUUAACUGUCCUCAAAAUUAUUUUUCAUCUUGUUAGAACCAUAUUGUCAGUAAAACCAGAGAAAUUAGCAGUUGAAUAAUUUUAUUAUUUGUGAUAUCCUCACUGUUGUGGAAUUGUCAUUAUUAGGAAUAUUCUUUUUUCCAGGUGGCUAGGUCCUCCAAUGGGCUCCAGACCAUUUUCUAGCAACUCACCAAUGGGUCCCAUAUGUCCUCCUCCACCUGGUCUAAACAGUUACCCUGAUAUUAAUUGGAAUUGAAUGCUGUUGAAAAUAUCCUGUAAUUCGAGUACGAACGAGUUUUCAUGUGUUCAGCAAGCAUAAGUUGAGUUGUUUAUGGUGUUCUAUUUGAGUUUGCUGUCAUAAUACUGCGUUUUUUGGAAAUAAAUUUUUGAAAUGAUA